AUUGAACGCUGGCGGCAGGCCUAACACAUGCAAGUCGAGCGGAUUUUGGGGGCUUGCUCCCAAGGUUAGCGGCGGACGGGUGAGUAACGCGUAGGAAUUUGCCCAGUAGUGGGGGAUAACGUUCCGAAAGGAACGCUAAUACCGCAUACGCCCCAUGGGGGAAAGCAGGGGAUCUUCGGACCUUGCGCUAUUGGAGAAGCCUGCGUCGGAUUAGCUAGUUGGUAGGGUAAAGGCCAACCAAGGCGACGAUCCGUAGCUGGUCUGAGAGGAUGAUCAGCCACACUGGAACUGAGACACGGCCCAGACUCCUACGGGAGGCAGCAGUGGGAAAUUUUUGACCCUGGGGGCAACCCUGAUCCAACAAUGCCGCGUGAGUGAAGAAGGCCUUCGGGUUGUAAAGCUCUUUUGUCAGGGAAGAAACACCGGCUCUAACACAGUCCGGGAAUGACGGUACCUGAAGAAUAAGCACCGGCUAACUACGUGCCAGCCGCCGCCGUAA
rnacentral:rRNA from 1 species